rnacentral:misc_RNA from 1 species
GUUUUUCACUGCCACUUCAAUUUUGUCAUCUGUUGUCUUCCCUAGUUCAUUCAUAAUGUUCUUAUUCAAGUUCUCUGCUGAAAACUCUGCAGCUUUCACUCCUCCAUGACCAUCAAAUAUACCAAAAAAACCCUGUUUGGAAUCUCCUUUAAGAUUAACCAUUGCAGAGUGACGAUCCUCCAUUGCACCUUUUCUCCCCCUUUUACAGCAAACAGAAUAUCCAUCACCCUCAACCUCAACCAAAUCCGCUACCCCAGCAGGAGUCACCGGAAAAUUCCCGAAACUCAUCGAAGCUACCGGAAGAUCCAACCUAGUCGG